CGGAACAAAGGUAUAAUUAUAUUUUUAUGCAUAUCUUGCAACAAAACAAAAACCUGCAAGAUAACUUUAAUUUCUAUAUUCUCUGACGCUUGUAGAUUAUGACUAUCAAUCAAAAGAAUUCUCAAGCGGAUUCCUGUAACGAAUCGGCACAGCUGGCGGUAUCUACCAAUCAAAGCCAAGAUUCCCUUGGGAUUCAAACCAUGUUUCUCUUGGAAUAACAUUGACAAUAAAGAAGAAGGUAUUGAGGAAGACGGUGCAAGACAACGAAUUAUCGACAAGCAUCCAACUAUGUCUGGGAAAAGAAGAGAAGAAGAUGCGAAGACAAAGGAAAUGGAAUUGAAAUUAAGGAUAGAGAAGAAGAGACAGUCUUUGCAUGACUGGAUGAAGAAGAAGCGAAUCGAGCGAACGAGAAGUAUCUAAUGGAAGUUGAAGAGAAGAGACAGAAAGAAAGUAGGCAUUUGUAAGUAAAGCGAAGAAUACCGACCCUGUACGUCCAGUGGACAUAAAAUUGGCGAAGGAAAAGAAGGCUAUGAAAAGUAAGCAAAGUUUUAUCUUUUACUAUUUUUGAAGUGGGCCUGAGAUCUCUUAUGCGAGCGCGAUUUCAAGAAGCAUGUGGUGAAU